rnacentral:rRNA from 1 species
AAUCCAUAGGUUAAUGAGGCGAACCGGGGGAACUGAAACAUCUAAGUACCCCGAGGAAAAGAAAUCAACCGAGAUUCCCCCAGUAGCGGCGAGCGAACGGGGAGGAGCCCAGAGCCUGAAUCAGCAUGUGUGUUAGUGGAAGCGUCUGGAAAGGCGCGCGAUACAGGGUGACAGCCCCGUACACAAAAGCGCAUGUGCUGUGAGCUCGAUGAGUAGGGCGGGACACGUGGUAUCCUGUCUGAAUAUGGGGGGACCAUCCUCCAAGGCUAAAUACUCCUGACUGACCGAUAGUGAACCAGUACCGUGAGGGAAAGGCGAAAAGAACCCCGGCGAGGGGAGUGAAAAAGAACCUGAAACCGUGUACGUACAAGCAGUGGGAGCACAGGUUUACCUGUGUGACUGCGUACCUUUUGUAUAAUGGGUCAGCGACUUAUAUUCUGUAGCAAGGUUAACCGUAUAGGGGAGCCGUAGGGAAACCGAGUCUUAACCGGGCGUUAAGUUGCAGGGUAUAGACCCGAAACCCGGUGAUCUAGCCAUGGGCAGGUUGAAGGUUGGGUAACACUAACUGGAGGACCGAACCGACUAAUGUUGAAAAAUUAGCGGAUGACCUGUGGCUGGGGGUGAAAGGCCAAUCAAACCGGGAGAUAGCUGGUUCUCCCCGAAAGCUAUUUAGGUAGCGCC